CUGAGAUGGACUUUAAACAGUCCUUUAAACACAAAGGUUUGGUCCUAGCCUUAGUAUCAAUCCUUUCUUAAAUUAUACAUGCAAGUCUCCGCACCCCAGUGAAAACGCCCUUAAACUCCUUCAGGAACAAGGAGCCGGUAUCAGGCACAUUAAUUUGCCCAAGACACCUAGUCACGCCACUCCCACAAGGGUCUUCAGCAGUAAUAAACAUUGAAUAUUAGUGAAAACUUGAUUCAAUUAAGGUAAACAGAGCCGGCAAACACCGGUGCCAGCCGCCGCGGCUACACCCCUCGGGGCUCAAAUUGAUAAAAUCGGCGUAAAGAGUGAUUAAAGUGCACCCACUCAUGAUAGAGUUAAAACUAAAUCUUCCUGUUAUAAGCUUAUUUAUUUUUAAACCCAAAUAACGAAAGUUACUCUAUACCCCUCAACUUGAAUUCACGAAAACUCGGACACAAACUGGGAUCAGAUACCCCACUAUGCCAAGUUGUAAACCUUAACUUACACCAUCAUCGCCAGGGUACUACGAGCAAAGCKUAAAACCCAAAGKAMYUGACGGUKCCCUACACUUCCUAGAGGAGCCUGUCUCAUAAUUGAUUAUCCCCGCUAAACCUCACCACUCUUUGCCUCUCAGCUUGUAUACUUCCGUCGUCAGCCAACCACAUGAGUGAAAUUCAGCAAGCCUAAUGUCUACUCAUCAAAACGUCAGGUCAAAGUGCAGCUAAUAGAGUGGGAACAGAUGGGCUACACUUUCUAGUAUAGAAAACACGAAAAACUGUGUGAAACCAUAGUCAGAAGGUGGAUUUAGAAGUAAAAAGAAAUCAGAGCGUUCUUUUUAAUCUGCCAUUAGGGCAUGUACAAACCGCCCGUCACCCUCUUCGAAGCAUAAAGAUAUAGUAAUUAACCAUCCACCGCAUAAGAGAAGAGGCAAGUCGUAACAUGGUAAGUAUACCGGAAGGUGUACUUGGAAACGAAAUAU
rnacentral:ncRNA from 1 species